AAUAGGAGAAUGACAAAUCAGAUUUUCUUAUUGAAUUUUAGCUUUUUCCUCCUGAAAAAAAAAAUCAAAUCCAACUAAAAAUGCUAAAAAUAAAGAGAAAAAAAAUCUGAUUUGUCAUUAUCCUAUU
rnacentral:pre_miRNA from 1 species